GGGAUUCCCCCNCAGUAAGGGCGACUGAAACGGGAUGAGCCCAGCGCAUAACGUCUUUCACUUAGGAAGGUGUCAGAUGGGUGUUGCGUAUCGGAGGGGUCUGGCACGGCCGGCCUUCCCGCCUAAGUUUUGACUUGAACGUUUCUCUAACCCAUGGAGGGUGAGAGGCCCGUGUGGCGGAUCCUGUCCCGAAUGGGAAGAUGUGCUGGCCGGAAAGGGCUCCUCCGUUGAGUCGGGUUGCUUAAUAUCGCAGCCCUAAGACAGGUGGUAAACUCCAUCUAAGGCUAAAUAUGACCACGAGACCGAUAGCGAACAAGUACCGUGAGGGAAAGUUGAAAAGGACUUUGAAGAGAGAGUUCAAGAGUACGUGAAACCGUUAAGAGGUAAACGGAUGGACGCCAGAAGGUCGACUAGGCGGAUUCAGCGAGCGAGAGACCGGGCCCAUCUUGUGUUUGGACUGUUGUACUGGGUUUGUCGUCCGGUGCAUGGCCAUUCACCUGUUGGGAUUCCGGCCCGGCUUGCGGAGUUCUGCCUUGGUAGGUCGUCGCGACCCGUUGACUGGACGUUAGGCCCGUUUGGAUUGGUAGCUCUGUAGGAGCGAUGCUUGAUCGAGGUCGCACUCGUUCGACUGUGUCGUUUCUCAGGGUGAAACCUGCGGUGCAUCCUUUCAGCCGGUCGACGGAGUUCUCCCUGGGGCUACGGCUCUCGCGGCGUAACUCAGUCGGCGUUCCAUCCGCCCCGUCUUGAAACACGGACCAAGGAGUCUAGCAUGUGCGCGAGCCAAAGGGUGUACUAAACCUGUAGGCGCAAUGAAAGUGAACUUCACUGAUUGGCUUUGACGAGUAGUAGAUUCCUCGAGUGGUGUUUCCCUUUGUCGUCGGCUUGGGCGAUUUUGGGGAGGACUUGCUUGGGGUUUUGAAGGCCGUCUGUAAUUGCCUGUUGGGUUGAUCCCUGCAUCUGAUCGUUGGGGCGCAAACCCCGGACUUGCAAAUUGUAUGCAAUAACUUGUUAUUCGGCUUUUUCCUUGAUUGAGGUUGCUGGUAGUGUUUUUGUGGGCAAGUACCGUGAGUGUACAUGCUAGGACCCGAAAGAUGGUGAACUAUGCCUGGCCAGGGUGAAGCCAGAGGAAACUCUGGUGGAGGCUCGAAGCGAUUCUGACGUGCAAAUCGAUCGUCGGAGCUGGGUAUAGGGGCGAAAGACUAAUCGAACCAUCUAGUAGCUGGUUCCCUCCGAAGUUUCCCUCAGGAUAGCUGGCGGUCGCCUUGAGAGAAUUUCACCUGGUAAAGCUAAUGAUUAGAGGUGUUGGGGACGAAACGUCCUCAACCUAUUCUCAAACUUUAAAUGGGUGAGAGACCAGACUUGCUUGAAUUGUUCGCGUACUCUUGUGGGUGCGUCGAGCCCUUUUUGGAAGUGAAGUGCUGGUGUAUGUGAAAUCUCUGACUGCCCAGUGGGCCGUUUUUGGUAAGCAGAACUGGUGCUGUGGGAUGAACCAAACGUUCAGUUAAGGGGCCUAAGUGAAUGCUCAUUCAGAUCCCAUGGAAAGGUGUUGCUUGCUACAGACAGCAGGACGGUGGCCAUGGAAGUUGGAAUCCGCUAAGGAGUGUGUAACAACUCACCUGCCGAAGCAAGUAGCCCUGAAAAUGGUAUGGCGCUCAAGCAUUCCCCCGAUACUGGACCGCCGGGACACUACAGACUGCAUGGGAGGUCUCGAAGUCCCGGUGAGUAGGAGGGCGCGACGGUGAGCAGUGAAGCGUCCGCCGUGAGGUGACGUGGAGCCGCCGUUGGUGAAGAUCUUGGUGGUAGUAGCAAAUAUUCGAGAGAGACUACCUGGAAGGCCGAUGUGGGGCAGGGUUCCGUGUGAACAUCAGUUGGACACGGGUUAGUCAGUCCUAAGUCCAAGGCGAAAGCCUUACGCCGAUGUGAUGGCAGUUGGCCAACCGAGUAUUUUCAAAGGUGCGUGUGGAAAGCAGUACGGCGCCCAAUGAUGACUCGCGAGGCGCGAAGCUCGCCUCCCACAAACGCUCACGCAACAGCACGACACUUUGGCAUGGGGUGUGUGUGUGUGUGUGA
rnacentral:rRNA from 1 species